rnacentral:siRNA from 1 species
UUUGUCCUUCGAUUUGCAGUG